rnacentral:ncRNA from 1 species
CAUCGCAAGGUGGAAUCUGAAAGAAGCCGGAUGUGCAGGAACAUACUAACUGCGUGGGCAAAGUUCCGGCCUGACGAACAGGAACGCCAUAGGAGGUAGUCAUGCAAGGAUGAAGCCGCAUAGCAGGCAGAAGUCCAAUACUGCACGGAUUGCAUAGGUAUAUAUGGCGCAGGUAGAUGGAACGAAAGUUG